rnacentral:rRNA from 1 species
UACGUAGGGGGCAAGCGUUGUCCGGAUUCACUGGGUGUAAAGGGCGCGUAGGCGGGUUAGCAAGUCAGAGGUGAAAUCUCCCGGCUCAACCGGGAAACUGCAUUUGAAACUGUUAAUCUUGAGUGCGGAAGAGAGAGAUGGAAUUCCAGGUGUAGCGAUGAAAUGCGUAGAUAUCUGGAGGAACACAAGUUGCGAAGGCGAUCUCUUGGUCCGUUACUGACGCUCAGGCGCGAAAGCGUGGGUAGCAAACAGG